rnacentral:rRNA from 1 species
UACAGAGGGUGCACGCGUUAAUCGGAAUUACUGGGCGUAAAGCGUGCGUAGUCGGUUAUUUAAGUCGGGUGUGAAAUCCCCGGGCUCAACCUGGGAAUUGCAUUCGAUACUGGAUAGCUAGAGUUCGGCAGAGGGAAGCGGAAUUUCGGGUGUAGCGGUGAAAUGCGUAGAUAUCCGAAGGAACAUCAGUGGCGAAAGCGGCUUCCUGGACCAGAACUGACGAUCAGGCACGAAAGCGUGGGGAGCAAACAGG